UGGGGAAUAUUGGACAAUGGGCGCAAGCCUGAUCCAGCCAUGCCGCGGGAGUGAUGAAGGCCCGAGGGUUGUAAAGCUCUUUCACCGGUGAAGAUAAUGACGGUAACCGGAGAAGAAGCCCCGGCUAACUUCGUGCCGGCAGCCGCGGUAAUACGAAGGGGGCUAGCGUUGUUCGGAAUUACUGGGCGUAAAGCGCACGUAGGCGGACUUUUAAGUCAGGGGUGAAAUCCCGGGGCUCAACCCCGGAACUGCCUUUGAUACUGGAUGUCUUGAGUAUGGUAGAGGUGAGUGGAAUUCCGAGUGUAGAGGUGACAUUCGUAGAUAUUCGGAGGAACACCAGUGGCGAAGGCGGCUCACUGGUCCAUUACUGACGCUGAGGUGCGAAAGCGUGGGGAGCAAACAGG
rnacentral:rRNA from 1 species